rnacentral:tRNA from 1 species
GCGACUGUAGUAUAGCGGUAAAAUACGACCCUCCCAAGGUCGUGACCCGGGUUCAAAAGAGAUUUUUACAAAACACAAAGAACUUUUGUUCUUGUGCCCAAAUCUCGUAAAAAGUGAGCGACAUUUCGCUUCGCGAAAGUCCCUCGGUAAUGUGAGAAUCUCAUGAAAGUCCCGGCAGUCGCA